rnacentral:tRNA from 2 species
GCAGUGGUGGUUCAGUGGUAGAAUUCUUGCCUUCCAUGCAGGGGCCCUGGGUUCGAUUCCCGGCCAAUGCA